UGGGUCUUUGCGGGCGAGAUGAGAGGUUCGUGUCUUCAACUGGCCUACAAAGUCCCAGU
rnacentral:pre_miRNA from 2 species